CCCUGAGACGCCCAUUGUUCGGUAGUAUUUGUACUUCGUUUUGUCUCAAUGUGUUUCUGCUUCUUUGCUGCCAAGACACCACCCAGAUGUAAACAACUUGUCCGUUCGUUCUGACGACUUCCUUAUUUUGUGAGCUCCCUUCUUGCUCGAACGUGACGUCACAUGUCAACAAAGAUGGCGGCCCAAACAAACACCUCCUGGAGUGCCAGCGUUGUAACGAGGUCAUUCUUAGUGCAAACAAUGCCUUACAGAAUAAUCUUAUACUUUGUGAAGGAACACUAGAUGACCCAACAUGUAUGAUCCCAGAGGUGUACAAUAUUAUGAACCAGGAUGAUGCAUAUCCUGUAUUGGAAGAUGUGGUACAGCCUGCAGUAGAAGAUAUGACUCAACCUGCUGCUGAGUCAACACUCCAAAGUGUUGAGUUUCCUGAAAAAUGUAUGCCAUAAUCAAAGAUAAUGCCAAGCUAAGUGGUUGUGGGAAGCAGGAGCAAUGGCCGUUUUUUGAAACCAUGGAUGAGGUAUACAGCAGUAGAGAUCCUUCAGCGGUACCUCUAGUUGUCAUUGCUUCGUUCUCUGAACUAGCUUCAACUUCAGGGAAGGCCCAAGAGGUCAUCAGCUGCCAUCUAUGACCUUACCACUUUCCUUGGCAACCCCAAUGCACUGUAGAAAUGCUUCUGGAACACCUAUAUCUACAAGCUCUGUGUCAUCUGAAGGAGGUGGCAUAGAGAGAAAGAGACAUGAAGAGUGCAUCAGUGACAAGAAUUCCGAAAGAGAUAGAGAUAUUUUGUUUAAUAACUACAGAAGAGAAUAGUAUAAUGGAAAAUUUCCAGUCCUUACUGUUAGACUCCCAGUGAAAGGCUAAGCAGGAACAAACCAGUAAACUAAUAGAUGAUUUUAGGACAGAAAUAAAAGAAAUGAGAGAAUGUAUAAAAAGAACAGCAGUAAGGAGACAAAGUCAGCAUAUAAUUAGCUAGCCUAACAACCACCAUACAGAGAUUCUGAUGCUAAAACAGCAGAUUUUGCAGACCCAGACACAACUUCUUUCAGUUGUAAGAGUUUGAAGCUAUCAAAAUGAAAAUGAACUCUGAAGAGGAAGAACUGCAGGUUUACUGUU